GACGAACGCUGGCGGCGUGCUUAACACAUGCAAGUCGAACGGAAAGGCCCUGCUUUUGUGGGGUGCUCGAGUGGCGAACGGGUGAGUAACACGUGAGUAACCUGCCCUUGACUUUGGGAUAACUUCAGGAAACUGGGGCUAAUACCGGAUAGGAGCUCCUGCUGCAUGGUGGGGGUUGGAAAGUUUCGGCGGUUGGGGAUGGGCUCGCGGCUUAUCAGCUUGUUGGUGGGGUAGUGGCUUACCAAGGCUUUGACGGGUAGCCGGCCUGAGAGGGUGACCGGCCACAUUGGGACUGAGAUACGGCCCAGACUCCUACGGGAGGCAGCAGUGGGGAUUAUUGCACAAUGGGCGGAAGCCUGAUGCAGCAACGCCGCGUGCGGGAUGACGGCCUUCGGGUUGUAAACCGCUUUCGCCUGUGACGAAGCGUGAGUGACGGUAAUGGGUAAAGAAGCACCGGCUAACUACGUG
rnacentral:rRNA from 1 species